UGUAAUUCAUCUUUUUUCUUCAUCAUUCCACUUUUCUUGCUGAAGUUAGUUUUUUUUUCCAUAUUUCCUGGCCUAAUUAUUUGUAGUCAUUGUAGAAUUGUGUAAAUAAAUCUGUAAAUAAUGGAAAGAGAUCAUCUGAGGAGAUCAGACAGAGAGAGGAAAGUCCCCCAGAGAUUUCUGGAGAAGGAUGAACAGGAUGAGACCGGUGCAGCAACAUCCUCUCAAACACAGGAGGACACAAGCAGAAGUCAGAAGGCAAGCCAAGGGAGGAAACAAUGCACUCUGUGCAAAAGAUGUACACCCUGGAUGUGUUUGGAGUGCAAAGUUGGCCUCUGUCUUCAGCUAGACAGGAACUGCUUCACCAUCUACCAUGGCUGCUAAAAAACGCCUGAAAAUUUACAAAUAUAAAAGCCUCAAAUAUGAAAACUGAAAGCUGCAGGCAAACAAAACUUUUUGUGAUGUUGUAAAAUAGGUUAAAUUUCAUUUCUGUAAUAUUGGAUUUUUUGUUCCUAUACAUUUGAAUUGUUCAUAAAGCAAAACCUGGUGAUAUUUCAAA